rnacentral:rRNA from 1 species
GAUGAACGCUGGCGGCAUGCCUAAUACAUGCAAGUCGAACGAGCUCUUCGGAGCUAGUGGCGGACGGGUGAGUAACACGUUGGUACCUACCCCGAAGUGGGGAAUAACUGCCCGAAAGGGUGGCUAAUACCGCAUAAUACCGUAAGGUUAAAGCAGUAAUGCGCUUCGGGAGGGGCCUGCGUCCCAUUAGCUAGUUGGCGGGGUAAAUGCCCACCAAGGCGACGAUGGGUAGCUGGAUCGAGAGGUUGACCAGCCACACUGGGACUGAGAUACGGCCCAGACUCCUACGGGAGGCAGCAGUAAGGAAUCUUCCACAAUGGACGAAAGUCUGAUGGAGCAAUGCCGCGUGCAGGAUGACGGCCUUCGGGUUGUAAACUGCUUUUAUAUGGGAAGAUUAUGACGGUACCAUAUGAAUAAGGACCGGCUAACUACGUGCCAGCAGCCGCGGUAA